UACGUAGGGGGCAAGCGUUGUCCGGAUUUAUUGGGCGUAAAGAGCGUGUAGGCGGUUUGGUAGGUCCGCUGUGAAAACUCGAGCUCAACCUCGAGACGCCGGUGGAAACCAUCAGACUAGAGUCCGGAAGAGGAGAGUGGAAUUCCGUGGAUGUAGCGGUGAAAUGCGCAGAUAUCAGGAAGAACACCCGUGGCUAAGGCGGCUCUCUAGUACGGUACUGACGCUGAGACGCGAAAGCGUGGGGAGCGAACAGG
rnacentral:rRNA from 1 species